rnacentral:rRNA from 1 species
UACGUAGGGUGCGAGCGUUAAUCGGAAUUACUGGGCGUAAAGCGUGCGCAGGCGGUUAUGUAAGACAGAUGUGAAAUGCCCGGGCUUAACCUGGGAACUGCAUUUGUGACUGCAUGGCUAGAGUUUGGCAGAGGGGGGUGGAAUUCCACGUGUAGCAGUGAAAUGCGUAGAGAUGUGGAGGAACACCGAUGGCGAAGGCAGCCCCCUGGGUUAACACUGACGCUCAGGCACGAAAGCGUGGGGAGCAAACAGG